rnacentral:rRNA from 1 species
GACGAACGCUGGCGGCGUGCCUAAUACAUGCAAGUCGAGCGCUGAAGGUUGGUACUUGUACCGACUGGAUGAGCAGCGAACGGGUGAGUAACGCGUGGGGAAUCUGCCUUUGAGCGGGGGACAACAUCUGGAAACGAAUGCUAAUACCGCAUAAUAACUUUAAACACAAGUUUCAAGUUUGAAAGAUGCAAUUGCAUCACUCAAAGAUGAUCCCCCGUUGUAUUAGCUAGUUGGUGAGGUAAAGGCCCACCAAGGCGAGGAUACAUAGCCGACCUGAGAGGUGGUCGGCCACCAUGGGACUGGGGCACGGCCCCAGCCCCUACGGGGAGCCACAGGAGGGGAUUUUUGGCCAUGGGCGGAAGUCUUACCGAAGCACGCCCGCGUGGGUGAGGAAGGUCUCCGGUUGUUAAACUCUGUUUGUUGGGAAGAACGAUGGUGAGAGUGAAAAGCUCAUGUAGUGACGGUAACUAACCAGAAAGCAACGGCUAACUACGUG